UGUUCAAAAUGUUCACAAGCAAAGAAGCAUGGUGGGGAGAGCUACUGAUCUAUCCCGACUAAGUGGAUACAAUGAUCUCCUUACCGAGCUUGAACGCCUGUUUAACAUGGAAGGGCUUCUCAAGGACCCUGAAAAGGAUGGAGGAUGAUGGAGGAUCUUGUACACCGAUAGUGAGGACGAUAUGACGGUCGUGAUGAUCCAUGGCAAUACAUUUAUACACGAAAGAGGAAGUUGAGAAUGCGAGUGAUGAUAACAAGAGCUGUUUAGAACAAGCAGUUCUCAUGAUGGAAGCAUCAAAGUCAUCUUCUAUGACCCAGCCUGAUUAUUCUCCAACGGUUACUACUUACUAGAGUUUGAUAUUAACAAACCAGAAAGAAGUGUUUUUUUUUUUUUUACUUUUUGUGCUUUCAAGUGUGUUUUGCCUACAAAAGACAUAAAAUAUUUUCACCUUGAUCUUUGUCUUUCUCUUUGUUUGAUUGUGUUAUUUCUGGUCUUCGUGUACUUCAAUCUUUUUACUCUUAGAAAGUUUGUGUUUAUGGGA